rnacentral:misc_RNA from 1 species
GAUGAAGAACGUAGCGAAAUGCGAUAAGUAAUGUGAAAUGCAGAAUUCAGUGAAUCAUCGAAUCUUUGAACGCACAUUGCGCCCCCUGGUAUUCCGGGGGGCAUGCCUGUUCGAGCGUCAUUUCACCACUCAAGCCUCGCUUGGUAUUGGGCAACGCGGUCCGCCGCGUGCCUCAAAUCGUCCGGCUGGGUCUUCUGUCCCCUAAGCGUUGUGGAAACUAUUCGCUAAAGGGUGUUCGGGAGGCUACGCCGUAAAACAACCCCAUUUCUAAGGUUGACCUCGGAUCAGGUAGGGAUACCCGCUGAACUUAAGCAUAUCAAUAAGCGGAGGA